AGUAAGUAGGACUGGAAGACGGAGGACCAUUUACAAAGUGGGCUUUUCACUGCCGAAUCGAAGCCCAUUUUGUCGCCUUAUCUGUGAGCUCUUCUGGGGGGUUUUAGCUGGGGGUUCCUUCUGCCAGGAGAAGCUAGUACGAGUUCAGUUGAGACUGAUUGUGUGUUGAAAUGGCUCUGCAACAUGCUAUGAGGCUCCCAUAUCUCUUCUCCUCAUCAACACACAACAAAUUUGUAGCACCCAUUUCGUUGAUUAGUCGUCAAGGGCAUCAAUUCAGCACAAAAAGAAGAGAGGUUACUAGAUUGUAUGCCUCUUGUUCAGGCGACCCCUAUUUAAUGGAUUCUGAUGAGAGACGUGAAUGGAGAGAGAAAAUUAGACGAGUGUUAGAUAAAAACCCGGAUGUGGAGGAGGAGGAGGAGGAGCUAGACCCUACUGAUAGGACCAGGAAAGUGCAGGAACUUCUGGCCAACUAUCCUCUCGUUGUGGAUGAGGAUGAUCCUGAAUGGCCUGAUGAUGCCGACGGCCGCGGUUUCAAGUUGGAUCAAUUCUUUGACAAGAUUACUAUCAACAACACCCCAAGGAAGGAUGACGACGACGAUAGUGACAAUGAACUAGUAUGGCAAGAUGAUAAUUAUAUUCGUCCCAUCAAAGAUAUAACAACUGCUGAAUGGGAAGAGACCGUUUUCAAGGACAUUAGCCCUUUGGUCAUUCUUGUACAUAAUCGCUAUAAAAGACCAAAAGAGAAUGAAAAAAUUCGGACUGAACUGGACAAGGCUGUACAAAUUAUAUGGAAUUGCAGGCUACCUUCACCAAGAUGUAUUGCAAUUGAUGCUGUUACUGAGCAUGACUUGGUUUCUGCUCUCCAAGUGUCUGUCUACCCCGAGAUCAUCUUCACCAAGGCUGGGAAGAUCUUGUAUCGUGAGAAAGCAAUACGAAGCGGAGAUGAGCUCUCAAAAGUAAUGGCUUUCUUUUACUAUGGAGCAGCCAAACCAGCUUGUUUGAAUGGAAUUGGUGAUAGGCAGGAAGAAAUUCCAUCCAUUCGUAUCAAUGCCCAACCAUGAUAUUAGAAUGAUGAAAUCUUGCUGAAAUCGAUGACUAUAGGGCCCUGCAAGCACAAAUUCAUCAGAAUCAGAUCACUCAUUGUGAACACCACAGCAACAGAAAGCUUGGUGGUAAUGAAAGCGGAAGGCAAACAGCUGGCCACGGUUUGAGCCAUUAAACUUGCAGUCGGCCACACCCACAGUUCGUUUCUUUGUUUUACCUCCAAAAACAGUGAGGCAUUUUCCUGUACUGCGAGAGACCCAAAAACGGAACUCGUGGUGAUUUAGUUUCUUAGGGGGACUAUAAGACUUCCAGUCAGCAUCUGCGAAGCUUUCCAGUGAUUUCAAUGAUCGAAGGCUGACCUUGUCAUGCUUGUCCACAGUAAGAUACAUAACAAAUUAAAGUAGGAUGAGCAUACCUGUGAUAACCAGAAGCUGAACCAGAAGUAGAUUUCCAGCCAAAAUAAGCAUUGUAUUUUGUUGACUGGCCACCUUUGAUAUUUGGCACUGAAUAAACUCCUUUGUCAUGCAAAUCCACAUAGUCAGACUGUAAAGCACCAGCAAUAAGAGUGUUGUCAAAUGCUGUCAUGUGGGGGUAGGCUUCACUUGGAGGGCAUUUACUGGAGUCGCAUUUGGAGCACUGGUUGCAAAGCCGAACACUCUUCAAAUGUGGGACUGGAGUUGCCCCAUGGGCACGAUCAAUAGAAGCAGUCGUCACCAGGACAAGCAGCAGGCAGAGAGAAAGGCAGUGGUAGUAGCUCCCCAUGUUUGUAUAUUUUGUUGUUCACUGCCUCUCUGUAUAACUCUAUUGUUGGUAAUUCCUAAGUAGAGAUUGUGUUUGUUUUA